rnacentral:rRNA from 1 species
GUUGACCUCGGAUCAGGUAGGGAUACCCGCUGAACUUAAGCAUAUCAAUAAGCGGAGGAAAAGAAACCAACAGGGAUUACCUCAGUAACGGCGAGUGAAGCGGUAAGAGCUCAAAUU